rnacentral:misc_RNA from 1 species
AGCAGCCGCGGUAAUUCCAGCUCCAAUAGCGUAUAUUAAAGUUGUUGCAGUUAAAAAGCUCGUAGUUGAAUUUCGGGAUUGGCGCAUCGGUCGUGCCUCACGGGGUAUGAACUGGUGCAGUCAAUUUCUCACCUUCUGGAGAACCGCGAUGUCCUUAAUUGGAUGCCGCGGGGAACCAGGACCUUUACUUUGAAAAAUUAGAGUGUUUAAAGCAGGCAUUUUUGCUUGAAUACAUUAGCAUGGAAUAAUAAAAUAGGACGGCAUGGUUCUAUUUUGUUGGUUUCUAGGACCACCGUAAUGAUUAAUAGGGAUAGUUGGGGGCAUUAGUAUUCAAUUGUCAGAGGUGAAAUUCUUGGAUUUAUUGAAGACUAACUACUGCGAAAGCAUUUGCCAAGGAUGUUUUCAUUAAUCAAGAACGAAAGUUAGGGGAUCGAAGACGAUCAGAUACCGUCGUAGUCUUAACCAUAAACUAUGCCGACUAGGAAUCAGACGAUGUUAAUUUUUAAUGUACUCGUUGGCU